GCAGAUGCGCGGGUGAUUGGUGCCUGCGCAAGCAGGUGAAAAGGGAAUGUGCAGCCGCGAUCUUUCACGGUAAAGCACAGCCGCCCCCGCGACCGUGAGCGAAUAGACUGUGUAAGGCCACUGGCAUCCCGCUGGGAAGGUAUCACAGUCGCAGGACCGCAAGGUUCCGAGUUCGUAAGCCGGGAGACCUGCCAUCACCAUACGACGUAAC
rnacentral:ncRNA from 1 species